rnacentral:rRNA from 1 species
AUGCAAAGACUCUGUUAUCUCUUGAAUUUAUCCACUGCCAACUUUAUCCUGCAGGCAUGGAUAAAGUUUGCAUUAGUCUUUGCCAGCCAGCUAGCAUUAAAAGCUGGUGUGUUUUAUGACAGAGUGACAAAUAUGACUAUUUGGGGAAACCAUUCAACAACUCAGGUUCCUAAUUUCUUGAAUGCCAAAAUUAAUGGGAGGCCAGUAAAAGAAGUCAUCAAAGAUACAAAGUGGCUAGAAGAGGAUUUUCCUACAACUGUUCAAAAGGUACACGGAGAAGGUUGUGGUGCCGGCGAGGCUGUUGCUCCCGGUGUCAGAGAGGGUAUCGCUGACCGAUGCCGCCGGCUUGCCCAAGGUGUCCUGCACGUCUUCAUGACCAGCCAUCUCCCCAGCAUCUCGCACAAUGUAUUCAGAGAGAUGCUGCCACUUGUGAUACAUCUAUGUGAAGCCAGAUCCAGAAUGAGUCGACAGAGUUGGGAGUAG